rnacentral:rRNA from 1 species
CACGAGCGCACCCUCGCCUUUAGUUGCCAGCAUGUUGGGGUGGGCACUCUAAAGGAACUGCCGGUGACAAGCCGGAGGAAGGUGGGGAUGACGUCAAGUCCUCAUGGCCCUUAUGUCCUGGGCUACACACGUGCUACAAUGGCGGUGACAGUGGGAAGCCAGGCAGCGAUGCCGAGCUGAUCUCCAAAAGCCGUCUCAGUUCGGAUUGCACUCUGCAACUCGGGUGCAUGAAGGUGGAAUCGCUAGUAAUCGUGGAUCAGCAUGCCACGGUGAAUACGUUCCCGGGCCUUGUACACACCGCCCGU